CUUUGGGUGUGACUGCGUACCUUUUGUAUAAUGGGUCAGCGACUUAUAUUCUGUAGCAAGGUUAACCGAAUAGGGGAGCCGGAGGGAAACCGAGUCUUAACCGGGCGUUAAGUUGCAGGGUAUAGACCCGAAACCCGGUGAUCUAGCCAUGGGCAGGUUGAAGGUUGGGUAACACUAACUGGAGGACCGAACCGACUAAUGUUGAAAAAUUAGCGGAUGACCUGUGGCUGGGGGUGAAAGGCCAAUCAAACCGGGAGAUAGCUGGUUCUCCCCGAAAGCUAUUUAGGUAGCGCCUCGUGAAUUCAUCUCCGGGGGUAGAGCACUGUUUCGGCUAGGGGGCCAUCCCGGCUUACCAACCCGAUGCAAACUGCGAAUACCGGAGAAUGUUAUCACGGGAGACACACGGCGGGUGCUAACGUCCGUCGUGAAGAGGGAAACAACCCAGACCGCCAGCUAAGGUCCCAAAGUCAUGGUUAAGUGGGAAACGAUGUGGGAAGGCCCAGACAGCCAGGAUGUUGGCUUAGAAGCAGCCAUCAUUUAAAGAAAGCGUAAUAGCUCACUGGUCGAGUCGGCCUGCGCGGAAGAUGUAACGGGGCUAAACCAUGCACCGAAGC
rnacentral:rRNA from 1 species